CCUCCCAGGAGCAAGAAGGAGGGUGACUACAGACUCGCCACCACUCACGGUGUCGCAGUGCUCUCUGUCGGCUGUUAGGCUGCUGGCGGCCGCCUUAGUGGCAGCGGCUUCAGCAGCCUUAUAGCAGUUGUUGAGCAGGUAAGGCCAUGCUUCUUCACACAGUGAUCUUACGGGUCCCGGCAUUGAGAAAGGACAAGCCCCAAAGUACAAGUACUUUCAAGAUUGUGAUUGAAUCACAUCAGUCAAAGCAAGUCACAUGGUCAAGCCUAGGAGAAGAUUAGCCAAGGACAUGGAUACAGAGAGGUGUUCAUUGGAGAGAAUUUGAAGUCGCUCAAGGUUGGAGAGCAUCAGACUUAAGGUACCCGUUCAUUUGCAAGUCAUGGCUGGAGCCACAAGAGGGCGCACUCUCAUCAAAGACCGUACAAAGUUCUGAAACUAAAAUACUGUUAACAUUUUUUGAAAUCUAACAAAAAAAAGAACUUCCAAACAUCUUUUGCAACACCAGCAUGGUAUCCUGGCAUUCUUUUCAUUUAUCUUAUGUCUGCUUACUUUACUUUUAGGAUGAGAAGAUAUAGUCUGUGGUCUGCACCGCGGCUGUCAAAAAUAUUGGCUUUUCUGGGCGCCUGGGUGGCUCAGUUGGUUAAGCGACUGCCUUUGGCUCGGGUCAUGAUCCUGGAGUCCCGGGAUCGAGUCCCACAUCGGGCUCCCUGCUCAGCA